rnacentral:tRNA from 1 species
UCUCGAUUGGUCUAGUGGUAAGGAUACCUGCUUGUCAUGGCGCAAAUCGCAGGUGGCCGGGGUUCGAUUCCCCGAUCGAGAG